rnacentral:piRNA from 1 species
UAGUCACACCAGAUGUAUACUGUAGCAGAU